AAAGGAAUAGACGGGGGCCCGCACAAGCAGUGGAGUAUGUGGUUUAAUUCGAAGCAACGCGAAGAACCUUACCAGGGCUUGACAUCCCUCGAAUGCUGUGGAAACACAGCAGUCCUACGGGACGGGGAGACAGGUGGUGCAUGGUUGUCGUCAGCUCGUGUCGUGAGAUGUUGGGUUAAGUCCCGCAACGAGCGCAACCCUUGUUGUUAGUUGCCAGCAUGUAAAGAUGGGCACUCUAACGAGACUGCCGGUGACAAAUCGGAGGAAGGUGGGGACGAGGUCAAAUCAUCAUGCCCUUUAUGUCCUGGGCUACACACGUACUACAAUGGCUACAACAGAGGGCAGCGAAGCCGCGAGGCGGAGCGAAUCCCAGAAAAGUAGCCUCAGUUCGGAUUGCGGGCUGCAACUCGCCCGCAUGAAGUCGGAAUUGCUAGUAAUGGCAGGUCAGCAUACUGCCGUGAAUACGUUCCCGGGCCUUGUACACACCGCCCGU
rnacentral:rRNA from 1 species